AUUGAACGCUGGCGGUAGGCCUAACACAUGCAAGUCGAACGCGAAAGUCCUUCGGGAUGAGUAGAGUGGCGGACGGGUGGAGUAACGCGUAGGAAUCUAUCCUGUAGUGGGGGAGUAACGUUUCGAAAGGAACGCUAAUACCGCAUACGCCCCAAGGGGGAAAGCGGGGGAUCUUCGGACCUCGUGCUAUAGGAGGAGCCUGCGUCGGAUUAGCUAGUUGGUGAGGUAAAGGCUCACCAAGGCGACGAUCCGUAGCUGGUCUGAGAGGAUGAUCAGCCACACCGGAACUGAGACACGGUCCGGACUCCUACGGGAGGCAGCAGUGGGGAAUAUUGCGCAAUGGGCGAAAGCCUGACGCAGCCAUACCGCGUGUGUGAAGAAGGCCUCGG
rnacentral:rRNA from 1 species